GAUGAACGCUAGCUACAGGCUUAACACAUGCAAGUCGCGGGGCAGCAUGGAGGUUGCUUGCAAUCCCCGAUGGCGACCGGCGCACGGGUGAGUAACGCGUAUUCAACCUGCCCUUCACCACGGGAUAACCCGGCGAAAGUCGGACUAAUACCGUAUGUUGUCCAUUGACGGCAUCCGAUUUGGACGAAAGGCUUGGCGGUGAGGGAUGGGGAUGCGUCCGAUUAGCCAGACGGCGGGGUAACGGCCCACCGUGGCUACGAUCGGUAGGGGUUCUGAGAGGAAGGUCCCCCACACUGGAACUGAGACACGGUCCAGACUCCUACGGGAGGCAACAGUGAGGAAUAUUGGUCAAUGGGCGUAAGCCUGAACCAGCCAAGUAGCGUGCAGGAUGACGGCCCUAUGGGUUGUAAACUGCUUUUAUGCGGGGAUAAAGUGGCCCACGUGUGGGCUUUUGCAGGUACCGCAUGAAUAAGGACCGGCUAAUUCCGUG
rnacentral:rRNA from 1 species